rnacentral:rRNA from 1 species
CGCCUUGCCAGCCCGCUACAGAAACUCAAAGGAAUUGACGGGGGCCCGCACAAGCGGUGGAGUAUGUGGUUUAAUUCGAUGCAACGCGAAGAACCUUACCUGGUCUUGACAUCCCGGAGACCCUUAGGAAACUAGGGGGUGCUUCCAUCUGGAAGAAUCUGGAGACAGGUGCUACAUGGCUGUCGUCAGCUCGUGUCGUGAGAUGUUGGGUUAAGUCCCGCAACGAGCGCAACCCUUGCCUUUAGUUGCCAGCAGUUCGGCUGGGCACUCUAAAGGGACUGCCGGUGUUAAACCGGAGGAAGGUGGGGAUGACGUCAAGUCCUCAUGGCCUUUAUGACCAGGGCUACACACGUACUACAAUGGCCGAUACAAAGGGCAGCGACACUGCGAGGUGAAGCCAAUCCCGUAAAAUCGGUCUCAGUCCGGAUUGGAGUCUGCAACUCGACUCCAUGAAGUUGGAAUCGCUAGUAAUCGUGGAUCAGCAUGCCACGGUGAAUACGUUCCCGGGCCUU